UACGUAGGGUGCGAGCGUUAAUCGGAAUUAUUGGGCGUAAAGCGUGCGCAGGCGGUUUUGUAAGCCAGAUGUGAAAGCCCCGGGCUCAACCUGGGAAUGGCAUUUGGGACUGCAAGGCUGGAGUAUGGCAGAGGAGACUAGAAUUCCUGGUGUAGCAGUGAAAUGCGUAGAUAUCAGGAGGAAUACCGAUGGCGAAGGCAGGUCUCUGGGCCAAUACUGACGCUCAUGCACGAAAGCGUGGGGAGCAAACAGG
rnacentral:rRNA from 1 species